GAGACACGGACCAGACUCCUACGGGAGGCAGCAGUGAGGAAUAUUGGUCAAUGGCCGCAGGGCUGAACCAGCCAAGUCGCGUGAGGGAUGACGGUCCUAUGGAUUGUAAACCUCUUUUGUCAGGGAGCAAAGGGCGCCACGUGUGGCGUUUUGCGAGUACCUGAAGAAAAAGCAUCGGCUAACUCCGUGCCAGCAGCCGCGGUAAUACGGAGGAUGCGAGCGUUAUCCGGAUUUAUUGGGUUUAAAGGGUGCGCAGGCGGAAUGUCAAGUCAGCGGUAAAAUUUCGGGGCUCAACCCCGUCGUGCCGUUGAAACUGGCGUUCUUGAGUGAGCGAGAAGUAUGCGGAAUGCGUGGUGUAGCGGUGAAAUGCAUAGAUAU
rnacentral:rRNA from 1 species